UGCCAGCAGCCGCGGUAAUACUGAAGGUGCAAGCGUUAAUCGGAAUCACUGGGCGUAAAGAGUACGUAGGCGGCUUUACAAGUCGGGUGUGAAAGCCCUGAGCUUAACUCAGGAACUGCAUUCGAUACUGUAUCGCUAGAGUUUAUUAGAGGAUAGCGGAAUUCCAGGUGUAGCGGUGAAAUGCGUAGAUAUUGGGAAGAACACCAGUGGCGAAAGCGGCUACCUGGUCCGAUUUUGACGCUGAGGCGCGAAAGCGUGGGGAGCAAACAGGAUUAGAUA
rnacentral:rRNA from 1 species